rnacentral:rRNA from 1 species
CCCUAGUAACGGCGAGUGAAGCGGCAACAGCUCAAAUUUGAAAUCUGGCUCCUUCGGGGUCCGAGUUGUAAUUUGCAGAGGAUGCCUCGGGUGCGGGUUCCUUCCGAGUUCCCUGGAACGGGACGCCAUAGAGGGUGAGAGCCCCGUCUGGUCGGAAACCCAGCCCAUGUGAGGCUCCCUCGACGAGUCGAGUAGUUUGGGAAUGCUGCUCUAACGGGAGGUAUACUCCUUCCAAAGCUAAAUACCGGCUGGAGACCGAUAGCGCACAAGUAGAGUGAUCGAAAGAUGAAAAGUACUUUGAAAAGAGAGUCAAAUAGCACGUGAAAUUGCUGAAAGGGAAGCGCUUGCUACCAGACUUGGGUUGGGCGGCUCAUCCGGCGCCACGCGCCGGUGCACUCCGCCCGCCCAGGCCAGCAUCAGCUUUCCGUCGGGGGCAAAGACGUCGGGAAUGUGGCUCCCCCUCGGGGGA